rnacentral:lncRNA from 1 species
CACGAUUCAGCUCACAGUAGCCUCUGUCAGGACAUAACGUUUACAUUGUGAUCCCAGUAACCUCGCAAUAGAGGGAAUGACAUGCAAAGAUUCUGAGGAAGAAAAUUCCAGGCAGGGAAUUCUGUUGAGCAAUGGCCCUGAAAUGGGAGUGAACAGGGUGCGUUUGAGGAACCAGAGACCAGUGGCAGAGGGCAUGGGGUGCAGAAUGCAAAGGGAGGACAUGAAGUCGCAGAGUUCCGUGUCUUCUGCAUUACAUUGUCUUCACUGGUAAUGUGAGUAGGGGCUGUGCUGGGGCCCUAAAGGACGUCUGCGGAGCCAGAGGCCACGGGAAUGCCAGCGACAAAAGCCAGCCUGGCCAUGGCUGGCUGCUGUGGCCCUCACAAGGAGGCCCUGACACGCGUUACCUGGAGCCAUACAGGGUUGUGAGCAAUGAGCAAGGGGAAUGCUGAUGGCCCUGCCCGAGCUGCAGGGCCUGGAAACCAGAAAACUCCUGGGAACUAUGACAUCUUCCCCAGCUGGAGGAACAGCAGGAGGAGUGUUGCAGAAGUCAAGGGGCCAGAAGCUCUUGGGCCGUUCCUGGGUUGAGCCAGAAAUGGCGGCCAAGAGAGUUUUCAAUAAAGUUUACAUGUGGCUAGAUAUGACCUGCUGAUUACUCUUAAUUUUUUUCACAUUUAUU